UUAAGCGACUAAGCGUACACGGUGGAUGCCCUGGCAGUCAGAGGCGAUGAAGGACGUGCUAAUCUGCGAUAAGCGUCGGUGAGGUGAUAUGAACCGUUAUAACCGGCGAUUUCCGAAUGGGGAAACCCAGUGUGUUUCGACACACUAUCAUUAACUGAAUCCAUAGGUUAAUGAGGCGAACCGGGGGAACUGAAACAUCUAAGUACCCCGAGGAAAAGAAAUCAACCGAGAUUCCCCCAGUAGCGGCGAGCGAACGGGGAGGAGCCCAGAGCCUGAAUCAGUGUGUGUGUUAGUGGAAGCGUCUGGAAAGGCGUGCGAUACAGGGUGACAGCCCCGUACACAAAAAUGCACAUAUUGUGAGCUCGAUGAGUAGGGCGGGACACGUGGUAUCCUGUCUGAAUAUGGGGGGACCAUCCUCCAAGGCUAAAUACUCCUGACUGACCGAUAGUGAACCAGUACCGUGAGGGAAAGGCGAAAAGAACCCCGGCGAGGGGAGUGAAAAAGAACCUGAAACCGUGUACGUACAAGCAGUGGGAGCCUCUUAAUGGGGUGACUGCGUACCUUUUGUAUAAUGGGUCAGCGACUUAUAUUCUGUAGCAAGGUUAACCGAAUAGGGGAGCCGAAGGGAAACCGAGUCUUAACUGGGCGUUAAGUUGCAGGGUAUAGACCCGAAACCCGGUGAUCUAGCCAUGGGCAGGUUGAAGGUUGGGUAACACUAACUGGAGGACCGAACCGACUAAUGUUGAAAAAUUAGCGGAUGACUUGUGGCUGGGGGUGAAAGGCCAAUCAAACCGGGAGAUAGCUGGUUCUCCCCGAAAGCUAUUUAGGUAGCGCCUCGUGAAUUCAUCUCCGGGGGUAGAGCACUGUUUCGGCAAGGGGGUCAUCCCGACUUACCAACCCGAUGCAAACUGCGAAUACCGGAGAAUGUUAUCACGGGAGACACACGGCGGGUGCUAACGUCCGUCGUGAAGAGGGAAACAACCCAGACCGCCAGCUAAGGUCCCAAAGUCAUGGUUAAGUGGGAAACGAUGUGGGAAGGCCCAGACAGCCAGGAUGUUGGCUUAGAAGCAGCCAUCAUUUAAAGAAAGCGUAAUAGCUCACUGGUCGAGUCGGCCUGCGCGGAAGAUGUAACGGGGCUAAACCAUGCACCGAAGCUGCGGCAGCGACACUAUGUGUUGUUGGGUAGGGGAGCGUUCUGUAAGCCUGUGAAGGUGGCCUGUGAGGGGUGCUGGAGGUAUCAGAAGUGCGAAUGCUGACAUAAGUAACGAUAAAGCGGGUGAAAAGCCCGCUCGCCGGAAGACCAAGGGUUCCUGUCCAACGUUAAUCGGGGCAGGGUGAGUCGACUCCUAAGGCGAGGCCGAAAGGCGUAGUCGAUGGGAAACAGGUUAAUAUUCCUGUACUUGGUGUUACUGCGAAGGGGGGACGGAGAAGGCUAUGUUGGCCGGGCGACGGUUGUCCCGGUUUAAGCGUGUAGGCUGGUUUUCCAGGCAAAUCCGGAAAACCAAGGCUGAGGCGUGAUGACGAGGCACUACGGUGCUGAAGUGACAAAUGCCCUGCUUCCAGGAAAAGCCUCUAAGCAUCAGGUAACAUCAAAUCGUACCCCAAACCGACACAGGUGGUCAGGUAGAGAAUACCAAGGCGCUUGAGAGAACUCGGGUGAAGGAACUAGGCAAAAUGGUGCCGUAACUUCGGGAGAAGGCACGCUGAUAUGUAGGUGAAGCGACUUGCUCGUGGAGCUGAAAUCAGUCGAAGAUACCAGCUGGCUGCAACUGUUUAUUAAAAACACAGCACUGUGCAAACACGAAAGUGGACGUAUACGGUGUGACGCCUGCCCGGUGCCGGAAGGUUAAUUGAUGGGGUUAGCGGUAACGCGAAGCUCUUGAUCGAAGCCCCGGUAAACGGCGGCCGUAACUAUAACGGUCCUAAGGUAGCGAAAUUCCUUGUCGGGUAAGUUCCGACCUGCACGAAUGGCGUAAUGAUGGCCAGGCUGUCUCCACCCGAGACUCAGUGAAAUUGAACUCGCUGUGAAGAUGCAGUGUACCCGCGGCAAGACGGAAAGACCCCGUGAACCUUUACUAUAGCUUGACACUGAACAUUGAGCCUUGAUGUGUAGGAUAGGUGGGAGGCUUUGAAGUGUGGACGCCAGUCUGCAUGGAGCCGACCUUGAAAUACCACCCUUUAAUGUUUGAUGUUCUAACGUUGGCCCGUAAUCCGGGUUGCGGACAGUGUCUGGUGGGUAGUUUGACUGGGGCGGUCUCCUCCUAAAGAGUAACGGAGGAGCACGAAGGUUGGCUAAUCCUGGUCGGACAUCAGGAGGUUAGUGCAAUGGCAUAAGCCAGCUUGACUGCGAGCGUGACGGCGCGAGCAGGUGCGAAAGCAGGUCAUAGUGAUCCGGUGGUUCUGAAUGGAAGGGCCAUCGCUCAACGGAUAAAAGGUACUCCGGGGAUAACAGGCUGAUACCGCCCAAGAGUUCAUAUCGACGGCGGUGUUUGGCACCUCGAUGUCGGCUCAUCACAUCCUGGGGCUGAAGUAGGUCCCAAGGGUAUGGCUGUUCGCCAUUUAAAGUGGUACGCGAGCUGGGUUUAGAACGUCGUGAGACAGUUCGGUCCCUAUCUGCCGUGGGCGCUGGAGAACUGAGGGGGGCUGCUCCUAGUACGAGAGGACCGGAGUGGACGCAUCACUGGUGUUCGGGUUGUCAUGCCAAUGGCACUGCCCGGUAGCUAAAUGCGGAAGAGAUAAGUGCUGAAAGCAUCUAAGCACGAAACUUGCCCCGAGAUGAGUUCUCCCUGAGACUUAGAGUCUCCUGAAGGAACGUUGAAGACGACGACGUUGAUAGGCCGGGUGUGUAAGCGCAGCGAUGCGUUGAGCUAACCGGUACUAAUGAACCGUGAGGCUUAACCUU
rnacentral:rRNA from 2 species